rnacentral:lncRNA from 1 species
GCAGCAGUAAGUGUAGGAGCAGUGGAGGCAAUGAAAGAUCAGGGAUUGAGUAGGUGGAACCACACAAUGAGAUCAAUGCACCAGCUUGCCAAGAACAACCUCAGGUCUUUGUCUCAGAACAAGCAGCUCUCUCCUGCACUGGCUUCAUCAAGCAGUAAAGCUAAAGAUCAAGAAAAGCUAAGGAGGUCUGAAGAGUCAUUCAGGAAAGUCAUGUACCUGAGCUGCUGGGGACCAAAUUGAUCGAGCCCCACCACUAAAACUACUAGGCAGUUUGUAAUUUUAAGAUACAUGGGGUGAUGUAAAACUGGAAAUUUUGGUAAUUUCCUAGCUACAAAAUUGUAAAUUUAAAAUUUGAGGCCCUUUUUUGCAAUGAAUUUGAAUAGAAAAUCCAUUUCUUUGUUAAAUUACGGGUUCUGUUAUUAUUCCUUAACUAAAUUAAUUGCAUUAGCAUCUCACGGAGCAGCAGAACUGCUUCAUUUUCCUUUUCAAGAAAUGCGUAAAUAUCCUUCAAGUAAUAAGAAUUAUUGUCCAUUUCACCAAAAAUUUCUCAAAUGCACGAGUAAACUCCAAAAAAGAAUGUUGUUUCUUUUUUUUUCCCCCGGUUGAAUCUAGAACGUUGUUGAUACUUGAUUGGUUAAUAUAUAGGAGCUAUCUAAACGGAGAGAAAAUACUCUCAUAUGUAAAUCCAAGACUUAGAUAGACUACAGAAAGUGUUACUUCUGGCGCAUACUACGUCUCCGUCCCAAAAUUCUAACAAGACAAAUGGCCAUUGGCCAACAGCUUCUUUGUAAUUCCAAGUUGCUAUCGCACUGUCUGGGUACAGUGCACCUAUUACAACUAACUAGUUAUAAAACCGGGUGCUCAUUCAUUGUCAACCAUGUACAGCUAGUUUUGUUAUGUUCACUCCCAUAGAUGUGAUUAACUACCGCAUUACAGGGGAAGCAUUACAAUGAUGUAUUUAGCCCAACUCGGGUAGCUCGAGUGAUUUCGUUGCUCCUCUUUAGAAUAUGGCGACCACGGUUUGAGUCCCGAGGAAAUCGUGUUCGAAAGGAACGGGUCUCUCUUCUCGGGUCACAGGAGGAGUAGUAGGGCCGAAGGCCCGGAUACCCCUAGAUCAGAAAAAAAAAAUUACAAUGAUGUAUUUAUCUGAUUUGGAGGUUCGCUCUCCAACUCUUUUGCAAUGGAGUAUUGUGCUUCCUUUCUUUAUAAAAUUCAGAGCACAGUAAUGCAUUUAUCUGAAUUGGAGGUUUGCUCUCCAACUCUUAUACAAAUCCAGUUAGGCUCAUCCUCUCUCUUAUAGUGUAGCAGCAGUCUUCAUCGUUGUAUCCAAAAUUAAUCUCUUUUAUUCAAAUUCAAAUUAACCUGAUAUGCUCCAUCGAUUGCUUGCUUGGUGCUAUUGAUCUGAUAAUUGCAGGAAACAAGUCCCCUAUUUUGUACAAUGAAAGUGUGAUAGAGACGUCAAUCGUAAACUUUUCCAUCCUAAUUAUAGACAGGAUUGUAGUCAUCCAAGAGAAAAUCUCAAAUAUACAUUGAAUAUGUUUGCUUAUUGAUUAUGAACAAAACAAAUAAAAGUAAAGUUGUAUCUGAAUGGAAUUAGCCUUUUGUAUAUGUGACAUGGGUACAAGUAAUCAAUAACUCCUAAUGAUUGAUUACCCUCUCAAUGCUAAGUCAAGAAGAAGAUAGUUUAGAUAGAGUAUUAUUUGAAAUAAUUAUUAUAGCAUUUUUUAUGAUGUGCACAUGAGAUUAAAAAAUAGUUGAAAACAUUAACAAUUAUGGUUAAAAAAUAUAUUUAUGAUGCUAACAAAAUAAUAUUUAGGUAUAAUUUCAGAAACCUUCCUUGGGGUUUUUGACAAUUACACAUAAAUACUCUCCAAUAUCAAAAAUUACAGUGCCCUCCCCUUAAUUGACAUAUUUGAUAACAAAUUAAGUCCAUGUUAGAAAAAGUACUCUUAAAGUAAUGAAUCAGUUUUGUCAAACAAUUAUAUUUCAAGUUUGCCCUCAUUGAAUCUUAAAGAAAAUAAGUUAAAAUUUUGGGCAAGAAAAAUGGCAAUAAAAAAAGGAAGAAAAAUUGGCACCAAGUUCAUCCGCUAAGGACAUGAAAUUAACAUUAAACAAAUCAGCAUUUUGGACAGCAAAGUCCUACAAGAAUUGAUGGUACUUUGUGGACAAUAUAUAGCAUAAAAUGCUAGUGAAUGAGCACAAAAAAAAAAAAGAGGCCAAUUUCAACUGAAUACAAAGGCAAUGAAAGAAACAUGUCUUCAUCAAACUAUCGUCGGAGCUCAUUUCAUGCAGGCACAUCAUUGAGGAUGAAAAAUAGAAACUAUAAUGGGUGUGGAUGGAAAGCAACAAUUAAAAUUUUUUAAAGCAAAAAAAAAAAUUCCUGGCAGGUUAUAUUUUGGUUGUUCUAAGUAUGGCUAUUUCAAGUGGUUUGAUGGCAAUGUAGCCAAAGAAGUGAGUAGUCGAAGACAAGAAGAUCCAACACAAGUUCAAAUAUCAAAAAGCAUUGGCAACAAUGUAGUGUCACCGACCCAAAUAUUGAUAAUGAUCAACAUGAGUUUACUAAUUAUAUUCAUUUUCAUUCAAAUUGUAAAGUUCAUUUGAAAUAUGGAUAUAAUUGUAAGAAUGUACCACAAAAAGUGUCUUGGUAGUUAUAUAGUGGCAGAACUAAAAGGCCAUAAAACGGUGGAUUUAAAUUCAUCUAUGAUAUUUAGUAAGAGUUUAUCUACUGUGAUUCAAAAUCAAAGAUUCUAGAUGUACAAAGCACUAUAAACUAAAUAAACUAAAACAAGUCUUAAAUAUAAUAAACAACAAGGUCAUACACUUCAAACUGGUUGAAUACCCAUAACAAGCAAUCCAAGGCAAGAAAAACAUGUCAACAAGGUUAUACACUUAAUGGCGCCAAAUUGCAUAUAAAAAUACUAUACUUGGAAAACUAGUCUUUUCCCCAUAUUUUUAGUAUUUUAGGGAUUGAUUUUGUGGGCUGUUGAAUAUGACAACCGGUCAUAUCAAAGUGAAAGAGGAGGGCACUGUAAUUUUUUAUAUUGGAAGGUAUUUAUGUGUAAUUGUCAGAAACUUCAGGGGAGGUUUCUGAAAUUAUCCCUAAUAUUUAUACUAUAUAUAAAGGGAGCCUUAAAUUUGAUGUAAACUUUUUUUUGUCAUCUUUUAGAUUUCCAGCUUCACCCUCUCGAUCACUUAAUUAUACCACCAUAUUGCUAAUCAACUUAACCACAAAUUAACUUUCACCCCAAUUAUCUAAAUAUAUAUUGCCUACAUAACUACCUACAAACAUUGUAACCAACAAGUUAAUUAAAAUUCUAUUAAAGAACUAUUUUUUUGACAAAUAUUCAAAAAACUAGUAAAAGAUCAAAAUUUACUUGUUCAUGUAUGAAAAUUUUAUACUAAAUUCUUUCAUAUAAAGGAUCGUUCCGAAAUUCCACAUACAUCGAGUGUGCCUUUAUCGCUAAUUUGAGAUAAUAUGUGUAUCCAAACAUAGUAAUAAUUUCUUCUAUUCUUUGCUUUGUUCGGUAAAAUGGAUUAAAAAAGCAAAUGAAAAAUACCCCACUCGACCUUUACAAAACCGCCCUCCCCAAAGUCAGUGGAUAAAUACCACAGCCCAUGAGCCCACUAGAAAUUUAAAAAACCAUAAACUCCAAGACCACUGGAAAAGCACCCAGCCCCUGGUUUCUGCAACAACUUAUUUACACAAACUUUUGAGAUGACAGAAUAUAAAUAUGGCUGAACUCCCCAACAACAUCAGCACCAAAGAACAUCUUCUCAGAAUUCAGAAAAACAUCUCUAGUACUCAACCAAGCUUCAAGAGUUCCAGAAAGACUCCAUCAUCAACAAGGAAUCUUUACAGUUUUAAAAUUUAUUCUUGCUGAAAAUGAGUUCAACAAGCAGGGCGUGGAUAGCAGCGGUGAGUGUAGGCGCAGUGGAGGCAAUGAAAGAUCAGGGAUUGAAUAGGUGGAACCACACCAUGAGGUCUGUACACCAGCUUGCCAAGAACAACCUCAGGUCCCUGUCUCAGACCAAGCAGCUUUCUCCUUCUGCAUUGGCUUCAUCAAGCAGUAAAGCUAAAGAUCAAGAAAAACUAAAGAAGUCUGAAGAAUCAUUAAGGAAAGUCAUGUACUUGAGCUGCUGGGGACCAAAUUGAUUGAGCCCCCCAUUAGUACUACUAUUUGUAAUUUUUUUUACAUACAUGGGGCGAUGUAAAACUGGAAAUUUUGGUAAUUUUGUACCCACAAAAUUGUAAAUUUUAAAAUUUAUGGCAUUUUUUGCCCAAUGAAUUGGAAUAGAAAAUUGAUGUGUUCUUUAAUGUGCAAUUUCAGUUUAGCAUUUCUUAAUGGGGUUAACUGCAUUAGCAUCUCGAGGAGGUGUGAUAGAUUAAAAUUGAUUAGAUUAAAAUGUAGGUUAAUCCAAGCCGCCUUAAUUGACAAGAGAAAUAAAGAGUGACAAAAUUGUGGGGUCAAUGUAUUGGCAAACAACGCAUGAUUGAGUAUAACACAGACGACUUCAUUAAGCAGUAUUAUUAGUAGUUUAGGCCCGAGAUAUUCACCUUUUUUGUUUUGUCAAAACCCGAGGAUAUUCACUUGGCUUUAUUGGAUCCGUAUUUUCUCAAUGUACUUUAGGCUUCCAAAGAGGCUAAUAAGAUUGAGUAUUGUUUAACUCAUCAUGCAAAAACUGCCAAUCUUCUUAAAAAUCUAUGGAAUUCAUCGCCAAGUUUUGUCAAGUAAAUCGUGUUGAACGAUAUCUACCAAUCUCAUUAAUAAAGUUUCCUGUUUUAUAAAAAAAAAAAAAAAAAAAGUAUUACCAUCUACUACAUGGCCUCAUUUUUAGACUGAUUUUCAAAACUUGAUUUUAGAUUUUAAUUUUAAAAAAAUUAUUUUAUUGUGUUCUCAAUUGCUGUUCAUAUUUUGAUUUUGAGUUUUUUUAGCUUUAAAAAAUUAAAAAUUAGAAGCAUCUAUUUUGAUAUUUUUUAUUUUAAUUUUCCAAAAUUAGUUCUUAUACAAUCAAAAACAGUUGGGAACAAGGCCAAUAACUUGUUUGUCUAUUUUUAUUCAAUAGGAAGGACUUAUGUUCUCAUUGUUAAUUACUUCAAGUAUUAACAAUGCUUGCACUCAAGAUUAAAUCUCUUAUACUUGAAAGUCUGUUGUGGCUAAUUCUCAUAGAAUUAAAUUAACCCAUAGUAGCCAUACACUUGUUCUUCUAUUUUUAAGAUUUUGGAAUUUUCGCGUGGGUACUUAGGUGAUUUUUAUACACGCGCCACUUUGUACAAUGACCAUAACUUACAAGUUCGCCUUAAACCUUUUUUUUUUUUUUUUUGGAAGGAAUUCACCUUAAACGUUUCUCUCGUAAUAUUUAGAAUUAUAGUUCUCGUCAUUCUUGAGAAAAUAAAAGUAUACAUCAAAUAUGUACGUUGCUAACCAAUUAUGAAUAAAGUAAAUAAAACUAAAGGUCUACUAAAAUGGAAAUAAGAUUGCACAUAACGCAUUAUGCAAAUUUUGCCUUUUUGAAUGUCUUAGAAUUUUCUUCCGUCAAGAAAGCAGUGGUGAACAAUUUUCAACAAUCUUAUUGAUAAAACUCUUUUGUUAUAUUAAAAAAAGUUAUUAAAAUGGAAUUAGUCCUUUGUAUAUUUGACUGGGGGUGCCAAUUGGGAUUUCGUAAUCAGGUUUUAACAAAUCCAAAUUCGAUUCACAAAUGAUAUAGGUUUUUUGAUCUUCGGGCAUUCGGGUUUGAAGUUCAAAUUAAAAGGUUCGAUCUCAAUUCUCAUUGUUAAAUGAGUUUCAGGUUCAAAUCAGACUUGACUCAAACUCAUAGUUAAAUACAAAAUUAUAUAUAAUAUAUUUAUAAUUAUGAAUCACUAUAAAUUUAUAUAUAAAUUAUUAUGUCAUAGAUAUUUAUAAUUACACACACACAUUCAUAUAUGAGCCGGGUAUUAGCUGUGUUCGAUUCUAGCAUGAUUCAAAUUCGAUUUUACAUUUAGGGUGUAUUUGAUAAAAUUGAAAUCUGAAAUCUGAAUCCAUUAAGUUAUUAAAUUAUUAAGUAUUAAAUCUAAUACAUUUCAAUGCAUAUCACAUUCAACGAUAAGUUAAUAACUUAUCACUUAAUUUUGGGAGCAAGUUUUAAUUAGAAAAUCUAAUACCACUUAAUUAAUUCAAAUGUUCAAUUUUUUUUAUCAUCAAAUAAUCUGAAUAUAUUAAGAUCUGAUUCCAUUAAGUUUAAGGGUUGAAUUUGAUUAUCAAAUAGGGCCUUAGUUCCGGUCUAAUAUUAAGGCUAAACUCUAUCUAGUCCAAAUAAAAAUUAGUCCAGCGGUUUUUUUGAGCCAAAUAAGCCGAGCUCGAACUGUUCUAAUCCCAUUGACAACCCUAUAUUUGACAUGGGUACGACUAAUCAGUAACUCCAAAUAAUUUAUUACCCUUUCAAUGCUAAGUGAAGAAGAAGAUAACAAUUCCCUCUUUUCUUCUUAUCUUUCAAUGCUACGUAAUUCCAAAAUUGGCCGCUUGAUUUCCUGGAAACCGUGCUCUCCAGAGCCAGUUGAGCACGCCACAGCCCUGAGCCCACAAGAACUUUAAAAAACCACACUCUCCUAGACCACUGGAAAGCUACAGAGCCCCUGGUUUUUUGCAACAAUCAUCAUACACAAACACACACAAACUUCAGAGAAUCUGUGUAUAUAUAUGACUGAACCUCCCAACAGCUCCAUCACCAAACACAUCUUCUUCUCAGAAUUCUAAAAGCAUCUGCAGCACUCAACUAAAGACUUGUAUCAUCAACAAGGAGUCAAUCUUUCAGUUUAACUACGUUCUUGCUGAAAAUGAGUUCAACAACCAGGGCAUGGAUAGCAGCAGUAAGUGUAGGAGCAGUGCAGGCAAUGAAAGAUCAGGGACUGUACAGGUGGAACCACACCAUUAGGUCAAUGCAGCAGCUUGCCAAGAACAACCUCAGGUCCUUGUCUCAGACCAAGCAGCUCUCUCCUGCAUUGGCUUCAUCAAGCAUUAAAGUUAAAGAUCAAGAAAAAAUUAGGCAGUCUGAAGAAUCAUUAAGGAAAGUCAUGUACUUGAGCUGUUGGGGUCCAAAUUGAUUGAGCCCCCCCACUAGUACUAUUUAGUUUUGUAAUUUUAGAUAUAUGGGGUGAUGUAAAACUGGAAAUUUUGGUAAUUUUCUAC